rnacentral:lncRNA from 1 species
CAUGCUCCAUGUCAAGCUUGAGGUUAUGAGAUAUCGGCAGCCAGAAACUCUAAGGAGAUCAUGCAUAAACUCCUGCAUGAUCAAUAUGUUGUCAGAGAUGCUAUGCCCCUCGAUGAAGGCAUCAUGCUCUGAACUGAUCAAUCGAGGAAGAAUAGGCUUCAUCCUAUCAACAAGGAUAUUGGCACAAAUCUUAUAAAGAGUUGUGCAUAGACCAAUUGGC